rfam:Turicibacter sp. H121, complete genome.
UCAAAUGAAAAUCACAACAUUCAUAUAUCAUCGAUAAUAAGGUUCGAAAGUUUCUACCCCUUGCCGUAAAUAUAGGGACUAUGAAGGUUGCACAAAUAAGA